UGUUCUUCAUCACCCCACCAGACCAGCCGAGAGUAAACAGACCUCUAGGAUGUCGAAAGGCGCUAAGUUUUAGCCGAAAAUGUUAAAUGAUAUUAAGAGUUAGCUAUGACACAGAAACUAACGGUGGGUGACUUAUGAAGAAAUAAAGGGACUGGAAACGGUAAACCGAGCAUUUAAUCCCGUGUAACCAACUAGUGGAAGCUGAGCGGCGGCUGAACGCGAGGAUGUCUGUGCAACGUUAAGCUAACAUGCUAAGCUAAGUGCUAGCCUCGGCUAACUGCUAAUGUUAGAGCGCAGCCGGAGCUCCAGCGGACAUGGCAGCGGGAGACAGAGCCUCUUCUGGCGGCUCUCUGGAGUCCACUCUAGACAGGAAGUUUCAGAAUGUGACCAACACCAUGGAUUCAAUCCAAGGACUGUCCACCUGGUGCAUCGAGAACAAGAAGUAUCACAGUCUGAUCGUGCGGCACUGGAUGAAGUAUUUGAAGAAAUCUGAUGCCGCACACAGACUCAACCUGUUGUACCUUGCCAACGACGUCAUUCAGAACUGUAAAAGGAAAAACGCCAUCGUUUACCGCACGGCAUUCGCAGAGGUGCUUCCAGAAGCCUUCCUGCUGGUCAACUAUGAAGGUGACCCCAAGGUGAUUAAAUCAGUGGAGAGGAUCCUAUCCAUCUGGGAGGAGAGGGCUGUGUACUCAGGGACGCUCAUUUCUGAUCUUAGGACUACUUUAGUGAAAGAAGAGUCUCCUCCCGAGACGCCCGUGGAGCAAAAAACUCCAGUGGAGUCUAAAGCAGAUCUACGGUCCAAGGUCGUUGCUGAAUUUGUGCCCCAGGCAUUCAUAGACCAACUGUCCAAGUACAAGAGAUCUCUGGAGGAGGUUGACCUCAGAGAAAAACAGCUGGCAGCUAUGAGGGUUGACAUCUGCAGCUCUGAUGCCCUGAAGAAACUCAAAGAUAAAGCGGGAGGGAAAAAGUUCUCCAAGGACUUUGAGGAAGGAAGCGCACAGCUGCAGGAGUUUGUAAAGUUCUUCGACAAGCAAAACAAAACGGGACCUCCGCUCAUGGAGGCACUGAGCAACGCAGACAUCUUCUAUGAGAUGCAGUACAAGGAGGUCAAGAUUGUUGCUAACGCCUACCAAACUUUUGCGAACCGGGUGUCCCACCUCAAGCGUAAGCUGGACUCCCUGAAGGCCACCUUACCAGACCUGGACGAUUCGCCCAUCCCCUCACCCUCUGCAGACGCACCGUCCCCUACAGGCUCGGAGUCUCCUUUCCACGGUCUGGACAUGGCCCAUCCCGAUCCAGAUCUCGACGGCUCUGCUAUGGACGAUGAAGCCGAGCCGCCUGCCCCGAGCCCGCUGUCCUCACCUGGAGGAUCCCCCAGAGACGAAGAAGUUCUCGGGGAGAACGACAAUCGCCAAGUGGAGGACAUGGAGCUCUCAGAGGAAGAAAUGGACAGCGGUGGCAUCAUAGUUGAGGAGCAGAUUAAAUCCGUCCCCCACCCAGAGGUGUCCACUGCAGUCCCAGCAAAAAGCGAGCCAUCGGUGGCAGCGGCGCAGGUCACGCCUCCCGUAGCCGCUCCCACAGCAGCCGUGGAAAAUGUUGACAUGAGUAAAAUUGGCUCCAUCCUCAACAGUUUAGGCUCAGUGAUGAAGAACACAGCGCCGUCAGUGGAGAGUCCUCCUGCAGCUGCUCCUGCCAGGUCCUCAGUGAAAACGACACCUGCUGCCCCUGUGGCCUCCCAGGAUGCCGGCUCACUGGUAAACCUCCUGUCCAAGGUGGAUGUGAGUCCUGCAGAUCUCCUCAGUGCUCUGUCCAAAGUCCAGGGAACCAGCAGCCUUGAAGGAAUCACUUCUCUUCUGGGCAGCUCGUCUGCAAAUGUUGCCCCAGACCUCUCCUCCUCCAGUCCAGGCAAGAUUACUCCCUCUCCAUCAUCCACAUCUGCACCAGCAGUACCCUCUCAGAGCCAGUCUCUCCCUUUUGUUGCACCGGUGCCUUCUUCAUUCAGCUCCGCUACAAAGCAGAGCUCAAGCACCCAAGAACCCCCUCAGACCUCCAACCCAGCCUCUGCCCUGGUCCAGGCUCUUCACAGAGACAUGGAUUUGACGACCGAGACAGAGCCGUCUUCCUCCUCUACGAGUUUAGAGUCUAAGAUCCAUAACUUCCUGCAGGGAAACCCUGCUUUCAAUGCAUUUGACCUGAGUUUUUCUACAACCCCAGCUGUGGGAGGAGACAAUCUGAGCCCAGCCACCGGCACUGACACCCAAGGUGGGACCCCAGUACGGGAUGAGGGAGGAGGCACCCCAACUCAGGACGAGAUCAUGGACAAACCAGCAGUGUUCCCAUUCGCUUCCAACACAAAUGCGUCAUCUGAAGAUAAAACUGCUCCUAAAACAGCUCCUAUUGCAUACCAGAAUAACGCCCAGCAGAACACCAACAAUCCCCAGCAGCAAGUUCACUUACAGCCAGGCGUGGCUCAGAAUGGGCAGAUCUACCAGCCCCGUCCGUACAGCAAACAGGAGAUGUCAGAGCACAUGAUCACUGCACCAGUUGCCCAUUACCAGCAGAUAUCUUCACAAACCGGAGGGCCGGUGCCUGGAGAAAGAGCCCCAGGCGGUGCCAGUAGCACACAGACAGUUGAGGGCUUUCAGGGGGCGAGUGAAAGGAGCUGGUACGGUGACACUUACCCAGAGGGGAGCUCUCAGCAGCCCAGCGGCUACAACAUGACAGUGCCUGGAGGGGCUGUAGAAAACCAGACAUCAGGACUUUAUCCAUACCAAACCGAGCAGACUCAGGAGCCUCAGGAGUUUGUGUCCGAGCACGGUUCCUCCACGUCCCCUGCCUUCUUUAGAAACAACCUUCCUCCUGUCCCAAGGUUGCCUCCCCCUCCUCUUCUUUUUGACGGCCCUCCUUCCUCCAUCAACAGUCUGAUGGUUCCUCCUGAGCGUCAGCAGCCGGGUCCGGGUGCUGAAGCAGGACCGGUGUUUGGUGGCAGAGCUGACAGCAUCAUCAGCGGGAUGGUCGUCCACGACCACCAACACAAGUCGUCAUUUCAUCCUGCUGAUCGGCCGUACGACAUCGACCAGCAUCGGCCGCGGCACCCCAACGAUUUACACGCUCACCCAGUUGACCUGCGUUACCAGGACGACCACGAUGAGCUCCGCCCACGUGACGCCCCUUUCCGCCAAGGCAAUCCCUACCACCACCAAGAGGAUUCAUACUACAGACCAGGCAGUCCUCCUCACCACUACCCCAUGGUCCGAGGGCGCCUCACUCCUCCGUGCUCACCCUCUGAGGACCCUUACUUUGCCCAGAGACACAGCCCCCCUCCUCCACACUACACUCCAAGGAGACCCCCGCCACCCCGUCAUGAAAUCCAUCAUCCCGGUAUGAGGCCUCCACAUCGGCCUCCCCACCCUGCGCACCCCCCACACCCCAGAGGGCCGCCACGACCGCCGUUUCCUCGUUUCCGCGGCCCCAGCCCGAUGUUAAGAGGCAAGCGUCCAGGUCUUGGUCCUGGUCCAGGUCCUGGUCCAGGUCCUGGUCCUGGUCCAAGAGGAGGGGGUCCAAUGUUCCCCCCGAAAAGACCCUUUCUGCCCCCACGGUACUGACCGACUGACUGGACAUGUAGCUUUGACCUCUUUAAUGUCAGGAGGCAGAUUGUUGUUGAGGUCCGCAUGCUGCUGUGAGAGAUUUCUGAAAAGCUGAAGAGAACGUGGGUGGAUAAAAGUUCAAAUAACGAGGUGGGCAUCAGAAGACAAAAUUAUACGGAAGAGGACUUAAUUAACCAGCUACCAGAAGAGCACUGUAAAUGCCGAAGAAUAGAGGAUGUGCAGAGGGUUGAGGAGAGACAACAGCAAGAGACAUAAAGCAGGCGGAGGCUCUGAGAGGGCUGCUGGACUGAAGAGUGAAGAAAGAAGAUUAAAGAAACUAAGAGGGAUCCACGGCUGCACUUUGAUGUGAUGGAAACCUUUCCCCUCCAACAUGUUAACUGAUGGAGGUGGGGGGGUUGAUGCUGUGGUGGCUUCUCCUCUUUGAAUCCCGCGCAGCUCCCACUGAUGGCUCUUCAUGGUCUGUUAUGGAUGCUGUGCGCCGCAGCAGCUGAUUGUGGGUUUGAGAGGAGAACACAGGAGAACUGGAAGGUUCCACAAAGAGGCCAGUGUGAGUAAGUACAGCCAGGAUUAACAUGCAUUAAAACCUUAAAAUGACUCGUAUACACACCAAAUUUUGAUUUAUAGUAUUGUUUGUUUUUUGUUUUUUUUUGACCAGUAGGGUUUUUCUGGCUGGAAGUGACAGAAACAAGUGAUUAAAGAUGUAUUUUGUAUACUUUUACUUAUUCAUAGCCCUCGAAUUUGUUGCAAUUUCCCAAAUUCCAGAAGGUUCUGGUCUUUUCUAACAUGCUCCGGUGCAUUUAAUACACUCUAAACUGAGAGCAGCUUGUGCAGUGGUUAUCUGCUCAGUUACUUGCCAGUUGCGAGUCAUGGCUAAAACCGAAGAGCUUAGUGAAGAUCUAUUGUAUAAAUCUGAAGCUAAAUCCAAGUGUUUCUAAGUGUCAGCGGCCACUGUGCAAAUUAAAAUCUAAAAGUAGAAGGAGUUCCAUGGUGAAAGAUCUCAGAGGGGGUGGUGUUAAGCCAAAGGGAGCCAUGUGCUGGCACAACUGAUCAAGGAAAACCCCGAAGCAUCACCACCGAGGCCGUCCUGAUGAAUCUGAGCUGUUCCGGUAGCAACAUGUCGUGACAAAUAUCAUGGUCUCUGUGGAUGUUCUCCAACUCACAAAUGCCCACCUGGAGAAAGAAAAGCGUUGCUGUUAAUCAAUUCUGUGGUCAGAUGUGACGAAAAUAGAGUUGGUUUUGUUUUAUGAAAGAAAGGAGAAGAGUUCCAACCAAAGAGGAGCACAGUCAAGCAUGGUGGUGGCAUUAUCAUGUUUGGAGGUGGAAAUUAAUGAACUCCAACAUGAAAAAAGAGGAUGAUUUUAAGAUUCUGGACAAUGACAUCUGACAUCUGCAGAGGGACUUGGCUGAUAGACAGUGUUGGACCUUCAAACAGGACAAUAAUCUGAAACAUGGAACCAAAACGAGUCAAGAAAUGGUUUAACGAAAUACGUUAUCAAGAUGUUGACUGACUGAGGACCAGAAUGCAUCUCUGACACAUGCUUUCACCAUCUUUUGUCACUUAUUUGUGUCAUUUCCAGCCUGUUAGUUAAAUAAAAAGCACUAUAAAUAGAAGGUUUUUGAUUUAACUGGCUCAGUAUAUAAUUGUUGGACUUUUUGUAUCAUAGUUGACAUUUUUGCUGUUUUCAGACCUAAAACCAACAUGGCCGCCUAUAACCAAACAUCACAUGGUAUUUUUACAGAAAGAUUCUUCUAAAUAUUAUAUAUACAAUUGAGUAAAAUUAAAAGUUAUUUAUAAAGAUAUUGUUGUACACCUGUUGACUACUUUAUAUUAAAAAGUCAGAAAGCC